rnacentral:rRNA from 1 species
AACGAACGCUGGCGGCAUGCCUAACACAUGCAAGUCGAACGAGACCUUCGGGUCUAGUGGCGCACGGGUGCGUAACGCGUGGGAACCUGCCCUUAGGUUCCGAAUAACUCCCCGAAAGGGGUGCUAAUACCGGAUAAUGUCUUCGGACCAAAGAUUUAUCGCCUUUGGCUGGGCCCGCGUUGGAUUCGCUAGUUGGUAGGGUAAAAGCCUACCAAGGCGAGGAUCCAUAGCUGGUCUGGGAGGAUGAUCAGCUACACUGGGACUGAGACACGGCCCAGACUCCUACGGAGGGGAGCAGUGGAGAAUAUAAGACGAGGGGCGAAGGCCUGAUACAGCAAUGCCGCGUAAGUGAUGAUGGCGUUAGGGUUGUAAAGCUCUUUUACCCGGGACGAUAAUGACAGUACCGGGAGAAUAAGCUCCGGCUAACUCCGUG